rnacentral:rRNA from 1 species
UUUUGAUAAUAAUUUAAAGUUUAAUCUGCCCACUGAUNAAAUUAUUAAAGGGCUGCAGUAUUUUGACUGUACAAAGGUAGCAUAAUCAUUAGUCUCUUAAUUGGUGACUUGUAUGAAGGAUUGGAUGAGAUAUAUACUGUCUCUAAUUAAUUUAUAAAAUUUAAUUUUUUAGUAAAAAAGCUAAAAUAAUUUUAAAAGACGAGAAGACCCUAUAGAGUUUAAUAAUUUAUUUAAUUAUUAUUAAUAUAUAAAUUUUAAAAUUAAAAUUAAAUAAAUUAUUUUAUUGGGGUGAUAGAAAAAUUAAAUUAACUUUUUUUUUAUAAUAAACAUUAAUUUAUGAUUAUAUGAUCCAUUAUUAUUGAUUAUAAGAAAAAAUUACCUUAGGGAUAACAGCGUAAUUUUUUUUUUUAGUUCAAAUAGGAAAAAAAGUUUGCGACCUCGAUGUUGAAUUAAGAUAAAAUUUAAAUGCAAAAGUUUAAAAUUUUGAUCUGUUCGAUCAUUAAAAUCUUA